rnacentral:misc_RNA from 1 species
UACAGAGGGUGCAAGCGUUAAUCGGAAUUACUGGGCGUAAAGGGCGCGUAGGUGGUUUGUUAAGUUGGAUGUGAAAGCUCCGGGCUUAACCUGGGAACUGCAUCCGAAACUGUCAAGCUAGAGUACGGUAGAGGGUGGUGGAAUUGCCUGUGUAGCGGUGAAAUGCGUAGAUAUAGGGAGGAACACCAGUGGCGAAGGCGACCACCUGGACUGAUACUGACACUGAGGUGCGAAAGCGUGGGUAGCAAACAGG